AAAACCCGCAAGGCCGACGGCACCCCGCCGCCGCUGGUGCAAGUCCAGCCACCCCACCAGGGCGGGCGCUCAUGGGUAAACC
rnacentral:ribozyme from 1 species